rnacentral:misc_RNA from 1 species
CUAGAUGCUUUUAGUGGAAGGAGAGUGAAAGAUCAGUUGAAAGGACUUGAAGCUUACUUGGAAAGAAUCUCGGAAUUUCCAAAGUUUAUAAGGAAUAACCCUGUCCAUGUAGCUGAUGAUAUGAUAGAGCUUUAUAUGGAGUUAUUGUGUCAGUAUGAACGUGAUUCAGUUCUCAAAUUCCUAGAGACUUUUGAUAGCUAUCGGGUAGAACACUGUUUGCGCUUGUGCCAGGAAUAUGGCAUAACAGAUGCAGCUGCUUUUUUGUUAGAAAGAGUUGGUGAUGUUGGGAGUGCUCUUUUUCUGACACUUUCUGGCCUCAAUGAUAAAUUUGCUGUGCUUGAUACAGCUGUGGGAAGUGUGAUUUCAACUACAACUUUACGUGGCUCUGCUGGCAUUGAUUAUUACAGCACUGUUUUAAAAAUGAAAGAGGUUGAUGAAAUACGCAGUAUAUUGAACUCCUGUAUUGGUUUGUGUCAGCGAAACACCCCUCGUUUGCAACCUGAGGAGUCAGAGACACUAUGGUUCAGAUUACUUGAUUCUUUUUGUGAGCCUUUGAUGGAUUCACAUGCUGAUGAAAGGGUAUUGAAAGAAAGUCAUGUUGGAAUGCCAGCAGAAACAUUGGGUGAACAUGAGGAUGAUGAGCCCAUAAUCAAGUGGAAAAUCUCUAGGUCCCACAAAGGUGCCCAUAUCUUAAGGAAAUUGUUCUCUCAGUUCAUCAAAGAGAUUGUUGAAGGAAUGAUAGGAUAUGUUCGCCUUCCUACUAUCAUGUCAAAAUUGCUCUCUGACAAUGGUAGCCAGGAAUUUGGUGAUUUUAAAAUUACCAUAUUGGGGAUGCUUGGAACAUAUGGCUUUGAGAGGAGAAUUCUGGAUACUGCCA